rnacentral:lncRNA from 1 species
ACUUACAAGCAAGGUUCUAGAAGCAGGACGGUGGAAUUCUGGGAUGAAGAAGAAGAAUUUGCUACCUGUUUUGGAAGAACUAGCAGAGUGAGGGCACAGUGUCCUGUUUUACAGAUACUUGCUCAGCCACAUUCAUCACUGCUCUGUUCAUAACAGUUGGAAAUUGGAAACAACCUAAAUGCUUUCUCUCUCUGAUUUGUGGAUUCUAGAUCUGAAUCUUAAGAGGUGAGUGUAGAACCUGAAGUUAACACAGAAACCAUGAAGGUUAAAGGAGAGAAUGGGGAAGGGGUAAAAUGAGCUAUAAAGCAAGGUGAAGAGAACGAAUUGGGCAAUUAGAAAACUGAAGAGGCUUUAUCUAGCAGGAGGGAGGGCAAUCCAGAUGAAAAGGGAGGGAAGGGGGAUAAAGAGAACUAAAAGUCAUUGAAAAAGCCACAGCCAUUACAGAAACAUUAUUUUAGGUUUGCUUAAAAUAAAUAUGUAAUAUAAUUAAUAUAUGUAAAUGAAAAUGUAAUGAAGUUACAGCAAGUGUAGUGACAAUGCUCCCUCCAAUCCAGACUGCUUAACAAAAAUCUCUGGUGUCAGAUAUUGGGACACUUCCCUUCAAGUUGUUGCUCAGGGGAGUUCAAGGGACUCCCCAAACAAUAAAAAGAUGUGGAAGGUUAUAACUUGAAGACAAAAUUAGAAGCAGACCAGCUUGAAGGGGGUAGAUGAUACAACACUGACAGUUGCAGAAUGAAUAAUGCCCUCUAGAACAAUUUGAUAUGGAGUAUAAAGGAGAAUUAGGGUCCUAGUGUGAACCACAGGCUUUCCAGCAAAACUGGGAGGAGGGUGCUGUUACUGACUUAGAAGACACAGGAGGAAAGCUGAGUGCCAUUUGAGGAGCUUAGUUGGAAUAUCUUUUUUUUGUUUGUUUUUUUGUUUUUUUGAGACAGGGUUUGUCUGUACAGCCCUGUCUGUCCUGGAACUCACUUUGUAGACCAGGCUGGCCUUGAACUCGACAAUUGGCCUGCCUCUGCCUCCCGAGUACUGGGAUUAAAGGCGUGUGCCACCACGCCCGGCUGAGUUGGAAUAUUUUACUGGACUCAUAGAAUCGAUAUGGCAGAGAGAGACCUGAGCAGAGAUAUAUAUUUGAUAGCAGGCACUGUGUAAUUGUGCUUUGCAUGAGGAAAAUGGUAAGACUGUAAAGGCUCAAAAAGACACAAGCCAAGGACAUCAUCAACUAUGAAGAGGCAGGAAAACAGACUAAAUAUUAAAAGAGUUGUAACUGAGAUAACAGCAAAGGAUAAAGAGAGUUUCACAAAAGCCAAAGGAUCCGAAAAUUUCUAGAAAUAAGUGGUGAACAAAGUCCGAUACUCUGAGUAUACUGAGGCCAGAAAUGCUGAGAGAUAAUUGAAACCAGAUGGGCAUGGGGUAAAGAGGGCAUAGGGGACAGAGAUGGCAGUAUAUAGAGAAAGUUCUGAAAAGUCAAAUAUAGGAGGAGCUAUCAGGUUUAAGACCUCUGAAUUGUGAUAAAGGACAAAAAAAAACCUUAAAAUUGUAUUAUUUAUCUAUUUAUAGGUAAACAAUUCAACAGUGUUACAUAUUCACUUAUUCAUGCUUUUCUACUGCAACUCUCUAACAAUGUUUUAUGUUGCAAAACUAAAACUCCAUGUUUAGUAAACAAUACAUUCCCAUUUCCUUUUCUUCCAAGCUCUUGAAAGCACCAUUUGGUUUCUCUGAAUUUGGCUAUGUUAGACACUGGUGCAGUUUUCUGUUUUGUGACUAGCUUAUUUUGCUUGACCUAAUGACUUAUAGGAUUUCUUUCUACUUUAGAGCAGAACAGCAUUCUAUGGUAUAUAGAUAGCAUAUCUUAUUUAUGGAGGGAGAAGCACUUUUAUUGCUUUUAACUUUUGAAAAAUUGUGAAUAAUGCUGUUGAAAGUAUGAGUAUGUAAAUAUCACUUUCAAAUUCUGCCUUUAGUUAUAUUUCUGGAUAGUACCUUUGAUAGUGUAGUUAAUGGAUUUUUUUUUAAGUUUUUCACUUAUUUGCAGAGCCUCUGGGACUUUUAAAGUUAUUCCUUGAGGUUUGGAAAGACUUCUAUUUUUAGAACUUAGCCUCAUGCAGAAGACUUUUGGUUGGGGGAGGGGGACCUAGGUAACCUACACAGCAACAGGCAGCAGAAGUAGGGAGUUGAGGUGUUGCCUUCAGGUGCCACUUGUUCUCUGGUACAAAAUACCAGGGGACAGCUGAGCGAAAGAGAUGUACUGAAGUACAUCUUGGGAAAACUGCCUUAUGACUGUUGAAUAGCCAUUCACAAAAAUGGAAGAACCAAUUUAAGAAGCAGAUGGAAGGUUUGCAAGGAACAGCUAACACAAGAGAAUAUGAUCCUGUUUCUGUGUUCCCCAGUGAUCAGAAUAUAGGAUGGAUUGUCCAUGUGGAUGUUGGAUGUUAGCAAAUGCUCAAUACACAAGAAUAACAUAAAGGGGCAGACUGAAGCUGAUAACCCAAUUGCUACAUUACAAGUAAACAUGAGUAAACUCAAGAGACUCAACAAGCCUUUUAUUUCAGGAAGCAACCAAGGUAAUUUGCUUCGUUUAAUGUUUUAGGCAGACAUGUUGCUUUAAAUGUUUUAAUUAAAAUAUAUAAUAAUUGAAUAGCAUAUUAGAGUUACUUUUAAUAUUUUAAAAUAAAGGAACUGUUUAUUACUCAACUUUUUGCAGACAGAUAUUUGUGUUGAAUAGUAAUUAGAUCCUAACUGUCCGAUAAGUUUACUUCUUCUAACCUAUAAUUGUAGGAGAUGAAGCUAUCACCUAGAGUUUGGCUUUUGUUUGUGUCUGUUUGCUUCUUUUUUUUUUUUUCCUCACCAGUAAGUCGGGAAACUAGACCAGGUAGGUUUAUUAUAAUAAUUAUUUUCCUUAUGCCUAUUGGUCAGCUGUUCAAAGAUUGGAGAGAAGAAAGGUGCAGAAGUAAAUGGCACUUUAUGAAGAUUCAGUGGACUUCAGGGAAGACAUUAUGAUGACCUAAUAGCAGAAAACAGUUGUUAAAAUCUAAUGUUAACUACUGGUGCUUAUUUUUCUGUCUGUGUUCUUCAUUCAUGAGGUGUAUUGACUGCCCAACCCAUGAAAAAUGAAAAAGAAAAUGUUCUCCCACGGAAAGAAGGUUUUUGUUUUGUUUUGUUUUGUUUUGUUUUGUUUUGUUUUGUUUGUGGAAUAAAGGUUGAAGC